UAAGCAUAUCAAUAAGCGGAGGAAAAGAAACCAACAGGGAUUGCCUUAGUAACGGCGAGUGAAGCGGCAACAGCUCAAAUUUGAAAGCUGGCCCUUUCAGGGUCCGCAUUGUAAUUUGUAGAGGAUGAUUCGGCGAGGGCUUCUGCCUAAGUCCCCUGGAACGGGGCGUCAUAGAGGGUGAGAAUCCCGUAUGCGGCAGAUCGUCUUAGCCAUGUGAAUCUCCUUCGACGAGUCGAGUUGUUUGGGAAUGCAGCUCUAAAUGGGAGGUAAAUUUCUUCUAAAGCUAAAUACCGGCCAGAGACCGAUAGCGCACAAGUAGAGUGAUCGAAAGAUGAAAAGCACUUUGGAAAGAGAGUUAAAAAGUACGUGAAAUUGUUGAAAGGGAAGCGCUUGCAACCAGACUUGUCCGCAGUUGCUCAGCCGGUCUCCUGACCGGCGUACUCUUCUGCGGCCAGGCCAGCAUCAGUUCGGGCGGUCGGAUAAAGACCUCGGGAAUGUAGCUCCUCUCGGGGAGUGUUAUAGCCCGGGGUGGAAUGCGGCCAGCCUGGACUGAGGAUCUCGCUUCGGCAAGGAUGCUGGCGUAAUGGUUGUA
rnacentral:rRNA from 1 species